AUUCGUUGCUCAGACGACUGCUAGUACAGGCUCAUUAGUCAUUACUGAUUAAGUGCUCAUUGAAGUUGCGUUUUCUUCGUCAUGGCUUCGUACUUCACGCUGCUGCUGUGCGUUUCCUUGGCGGUUGUCACCGUUUCUGAACGGUUCAUUUGCCGGGAUUGUCGACUGGUCAAAUGUGGGGGAGGUCCCGAGACACGUAACUGCACUUACGGGACAGUAAUGAACCCGUGUACGUGCUGCUCUGAAUGUCUUAAGGGCGAAGGUGAAAAGUGCGGUGGCCACUUAGACUUCUUUGGCACCUGCGCAGAGGAGCUGACCUGUUAUGAAGGUCUUUGCGUGACCAAGCUACCUUUUAAAGGACGGUAGUAAGAAUUUUCAAGUGGUUGGUGAACUUGCUUUCAGAGAAGCUUGAUUGGAGCUAGCUGAGUGGAGCCGUGGAUUCUAUACGAAGAUGGCUUCAAAGGAUUUUUGGCGACUUUUACUCUGGAAUUCUGUAAAUAAAAUGGAAGAUGGGUCUCAUUUAUUAUUUGUUGAAGCCUUAUUUCACAGUGGCUGCUGUUUUAGUUACCAGCUGGUCAUAAGAUAUCCAAAUUUGUUAUUAGGUAUUAAAAGAUGUCAUUAGGUUUUAAAUUGUCAAAACUUAAUAAAAGCAUCAUCAAUCAU